rnacentral:rRNA from 1 species
AGUGAACGCUGGCGGCGUGCCUAACACAUGCAAGUCGAACGAUGAUGGAUGAGCUUGCUCAUUCUGAUUAGUGGCGCACGGGUGAGUAUACCAUAGACAAUGUACCUCUUAGUUUGGGAUAGCCACUGGAAACGGUGAUUAAUACCAGAUACUCCUUCUUGUCUCAAGGCAAGUCGGGAAAGUUUUUUCGCUAAGAGAUCAGUCUAUGUCCUAUCAGCUAGUUGGUGAGGUAAUGGCUCACCAAGGCUAUGACGGGUAUCUGGUUUGAGAGGAUGAUCAGACACACUGGAACUGAGACACGGUCCAGACUCCUACGGGAGGCAGCAGUGAGGAAUAUUGCACAAUGGAGGAAACUCUGAUGCAGCAACGCCGCGUGGAGGAUGACGCAUUUCGGUGUGUAAACUCCUUUUAAGAGGGAAGAUUAGGACGGUACCUCUUGAAUAAGCACCGGCUAACUCCGUGCCAGCCGCCGCCGUAACAC